rnacentral:lncRNA from 1 species
AUCAAACCUAAGAAAUUAAAAUUGAUACAGCAAAUAUUAUCUAGUAUACAGCUGAUUAUGGUUUGGAUUUGUGUCCCCGCCCAUAUCUGAUGUUGAAUUGUAAUUUCCAGGAGCUGGGGCCUGGCAGGAGGUGACUGGAUCAUGGGGGCGCGUUUCCUCUGAGUACUGUUCUGGUGAUAGUGAGUGAGCUGUCGUCAUGAGAUCUGGUCGUGUAAAGCUGUCACAUCUACCUGCGGAAUUCACCUUAUACCUUAGAGAGAGGCUGCAGUCAGUGACAGCUGAUGGGAAAUGCAUCUGUUCCUUUGAGUAAUUCAGCAACAUCAUUACUUCUCAGUUAAAAAAGAAAAGCAGACCGGCG